CGACUUCUUGAGCAAGAAAAGAAGAUCACUCAGCUGCAUCUCGAGAAUCAGCAGAACAGCCAACUGGGGCAUUUAUCAAAAAAAGAGAAAAAGAAAAAAGAGGAGGGUGCAAAAUCAAAAAAAAAAAGAAAUCAAUCAAAAUCAAUCAAAAUCAAAAGAAAUCAAAAGCAAAAUCAAAAGAAAAAAAAAACAACAAAAGAAAGAUAGCACCCUCAAAGUCCCAAGUUGACUAAUGCUGAAUUCGACGGAAAGAACGAAAAGAUCAACUGCCAUGUGUCAUGGUCAAGUUAUAUCAGCAGAGAGUG
rnacentral:lncRNA from 1 species